rnacentral:ncRNA from 2 species
GUUUCCGUACUGACUUAUGGUGUCCUCCCGCUCGGGCUCACCGGACAGAGGAGGAUGAAAAGGGAACCAGGUGCAAGACCUGGGCAGACCCGCUGCCGUAAGCUCCACAGAGAACUCCCCUCACACUCUACUCGCCACUGUUGCCCUACAGGCAACGGGAAGGAUGCGAGGGGAGGGAGCAAGCCGGAAGACCUGCCAUAGUCUUUAGAGUAAA